rnacentral:rRNA from 1 species
CAGUAGCCACGGUAACACGGAGGGAGCUAGCGUUGUUCGGAAUUACUGGGCGUAAAGCGCACGUAGGCGGCUUUGUAAGUUAGAGGUGAAAGCCUGGAGCUCAACUCCAGAAUUGCCUUUAAGACUGCAUCGCUUGAAUCCGGGAGAGGUGAGUGGAAUUCCGAGUGUAGAGGUGAAAUUCGUAGAUAUUCGGAAGAACACCAGUGGCGAAGGCGGCUCACUGGACCGGCAUUGACGCUGAGGUGCGAAAGCGUGGGGAGCAAACAGGAUUAGAUACCCCUGUAGUCCCUGUCUCUUAUAA